rnacentral:rRNA from 1 species
ACGUAGGGUGCGAGCGUUAAUCGGAAUUACUGGGCGUAAAGCGUACGCAGAUGGCGUGAUAGGUGAGUUGUGAAAUCUUGUGGCUCAACCAUAUAGACUAUGACUCAAACCAUCACACUAGAGGUUGGUAGAGGCAAGCGGAAUUCCCGGUGUAGCAGUGACAUGCGUAGAUAUCGGAAGGAACACCAAUGGCGAAGGCAGCUUGCUGGGCCACACCUGACGUUAAGGUACGAAAGCGUGGGGAGCGAACGGGAUUAGAUACCCCGGUAGUCCACGCCGUAAACGAUGGAUACUAGUGGUAUGGAGAUUCGACCCUCUGUGUCACGAAGCUAACGCGAUAAGUAUCCCGCCUGGGGAGUACGAACGCAAGUUUA